GUAUUACACCAAGGAAAACGUUCCAGAAACGUCGAUAAGCCGGUGGUGAAUUACUGCCAUCGGAACAUUUACGGUAUUCAAAGACAGAAAAAACUUCAUCUUGAAAAAUCACAAUCCAAAAACAACAGCCAUUCUUACACCAAUUCAUAAAAAAUAUGUGAACCACUUUAUCCCUAAAUACUGCAAAAAUAUCAAAAUGAGGGAACAGUGGAACAGGGUCUUUAGAAGUGUUAUUCUUUGUCGCCCUUUGUUUCUGAGUAAUGCUCACGAUGAUGAUUCAACCGCUGCUCUUCUGGGACCGGGGACCCCAGAAAAGAACCCACCGCCCGAGAGCCAAAGUGGAGGGGUGACCCUCCUCCCCUUUUCCUGCCACAGCCAAGCCUGACCUUCCUGGACUGUUGUUUUCAAGCAUAAUAUCUCUGGUACAACAUUGAUACAAUCCACAUGAGUUCUUUAAGUAAGUGGCUAGUUACUUGGGGAUUCAAAGGAUUGUCUUGUCUCAGACUUUGGGUUCCUAUUGUCAAUACUUAAAUUCUAUGAUAGGAUACCCCAGGAAAGAAGGAAUACAAGGCC
rnacentral:lncRNA from 1 species